AUAUAACCUGAGCGCCCGCGCGGCCACGACACGAGGAAUUCGCCCACGCAGGAGGCGCGGCGUCCGGAGGCCCCAGGGUUAUGAGACUAUCACUGCUCAGGACCUACUAACAACAAAGGGUCUGAUGAAGAAUAAAAGAGCCAAUGCAACAUCUUGUGGAACACCAGGACUGAGAACUCUUGUUGUUACCAUUGCAAAGAGGCGUUCUGGCGUCAGAUGCACAGUGAUUUGUAUGGUGGCAUAAUCAUUGGCUCCUGGCCAGGCAUUAUGUUUCAGAGGACACUAUUGUCAAGAACCAUUCAACUAGAAAUCUGCACUGUAUGCACUCAAAAGUUGAGAUCAUCUGCCUUCCUAUGACAGGAAGAAUUCUGUGCUGGCAAUUGACUCAUGGACUCUCUUCACAUACACUAAGGCUUGGUCCAGUGGCUCUGAUGGAAUUAACUGUGCAGCCAAACUAGUGGCAUUGACAAGACAGGGCCACAGUCUCUGGGGACUUCAGGAGAAAUUGCUAAUUUUAAAAUGCAGAGUAUUAUGUUAAUGCUGGAUUAAAUCUUCAGAUACAUUAAAUGUGGAUUUGG
rnacentral:lncRNA from 1 species